CAAAGACCACUGGUUUAUGCUCUUCAUAAGAAAAUUAACAUGGCCAACUGUCGCCAACAUUCUUGCUACCCUUCCUCCGAUUUCUCCAACCCCGUAUUACUUGUCCUGCCCUCUAGUGUACGUUUUCAUCUCUACGUUCUGUUUCCUGCUCGGCUGCUCGCCAAUCGUCCGCCAUUGUUCGUGGCAGUUUGUGGCUUCGGCGCUUCGCGUCCCAUGAGAAAUCUGAGAAUUUAGCACGAGAAAUGUCGUUUACGAUAGAAAAAGAAGUUGUGGUGUAUAUUGUGUUCAAUUUUGGUUUGAUUGAAGGUGAAAAUCAUAGAUUUUCAACUUUUGAAGUUAACACAAAGAGGCUUUCAGAGUGGGAAAAAUGGAUUCCUUAACCUGAUGCUCAGCUAUCUGUGGUCGGUAUUUUGAUGCUGAUGAUAUUAUUAAAGGGAGAGAAAUAGGUGGAAUUUUCCAGCCAUUCAAGAAAUGGACCCUUAAAGACCUUGCUGUACCCAAACACUUUCUAUGCAAACCUGUUGAUCCUCUUGCUGAAUCUCUUGAUUGUUCUCAAGCCAAGAAAGGUGGGCCCAAGAUACAUAUCCCAUUCGCUGAUUGCAACAAAGAAAAUCAUAAAGCUCUUGCUUCACAAUCUUCUAAUAAUGUUAAAUGUGGGACCUCUAAACGGAUUCCAUUAUCUGAGCACUGGAAAUCGGCAGCCUCUCAUUUCCAAAGCUUCAAACAAUGGUACACUCAUCAAUUUAACUAGUCCCCAUAAACACUUUGAGAUGAUUAAUAGCAUUAAUCAAAUGGACCAAAAUGUGAAUGUUAUCAAUAAUUUGUUAAGGGCAGCUCAAGGUGAGACCAGUGUGACACUUCAUGACCUUGGAGUCAACAAUUUCCUGUUCCUCUGAGAGACUAGCUUCGACUGAUUCUGAAGCAACAGAUGCUUGUUUUAGUCAAGAGUCCCUUUCAGGUGAUCCCAAGACCCUUCAAAUCAACAAUUAUCCAAAUGAAGACUACAUGAAAUCCUACUUCUAUUGUUUAAACCUUUGUGGUCUGUUAUAACAUUCUAUAUUGUCCAAAUGGCAAAUGAACAAUAAAUUACGACUUCUCCUGUUUUAA